CUUACCACCCUUGGGCCUGCUUCCAGACAGCCCAGCUGCAUCCCCUUCCCCCUUCAGACCUAGUUUAAAGCCCUCUCAACAAGUUCUGCCAGUUCACAAGCUAAAAAUCUUCUUCCCUUAACAGAGAGAUGAAGCCCAUCUGGUUCCAACAGGCCAGGUACAGUAAAAGUUGCCCUGUGAUCAAAGAAUCAAAAAUUCUGCCAAUGACACCAACCCUUGAGCAACUUAUUGAUAAUGUGAGCUCUCCUAUUGCUUUCACCAUUUUUCUCAGCCACCAAAGGGACUGAGGAAAAGACAACCUGUAUCCCUGUCCUAUCACCCACUUGUCCCAGUGUCCUAAAGUCCCUUUUAAUUGCCCUGACACUCCUCUUUUCAAUCUCAUCACUGCCAGCCUGGGGUAUCAGCAGUGGGUAAUAAUCAGAGGGCUGAAUCAGCCCAGGCAGUCUCUCAGUAAUAUCCUGUACCCGGGCCCCAGAGAGGCAGCAGACAGACCUCUGUGUGGGGUGGGUCUGGUUGACAUAUGGGGCCUGUGUUCCCAUCAGGAGGGAGUCACCCACUAUGACUACUCUUCUUCUCUUUUUGAUGUUAGAAGUGGUGAUCCGUCUUGCAGAUGAAUCAUAACUGGGAGGCCUGACUCUCUAGAUCCAGGAGCUCAUACCUGUUCUUGAUGGCAUUUGACUAAGGGAUGGGGGUCAGGAGGAGUUUUAUUAAUACUUCCUCGAGCAGGAACCCAUUUCCACUCCCCUUCAUCUACCAAGCAUUCUUGUAUUAUGUGAACUUGGGAGGCAGAGGAGUCCUCUGACCCUUGGUGGGCCUCCCUUAAGGAUGCAAGGGCUGAGCUCCACCAGUCUAUUUCCCUUUCACCUUCCAUUAUACUCCCUAGUGUUUCAGCUUCCUCUCUAAGCUCAGCUACCAGUGAAAGGAGAUCCUUCAGCUGUUCAGACCUCAGGCAAGUUCCCUGUGGAACACCCCCUGAAAUCACUGAUAAGCUCAAACACUCCACACAAGAAUGAGUCUGUACAGACACGUCCUUUUUGGAGGGUUCCAUGUGGUUACACAGAUUUGCACUAACUGGGGUUUUUGAUUGUGUGAAGACCAUUACUAACAGAAACCCUGAAACCGAACAACAGAAACACCAAAAGCAACAUAAAGCAAACCUUUCGAACAGGGGACACUUGGAAACCUGCAACCCUGCCUGCGUGAACUGCUGUACAAACUGCUGCACCACGCCCUCAAAGCUGUGCCACGCCCCUGUUUUCUCACUCCAGGUCACUGCUCUGCCAGAGGCCUCUUUUAAAGCCCCCGCCUCACACAGCAGCUGAGAGAAACUAUGUCAUGUGCCUGCGUGGACUAACGAGCACAACACAACCCACCUGCUGAGCGAUAUUAUGGGGGUGCAUCCCCAUCCUGCCCCUAGGGAGGGAGGUUUAGGAGCUUAGAAAUGCUCCUUGGAUCUCAGCAUUCCAGGUAAGUGAAGGCAAACCUAUUCUCUCUUCACAUGGCAAAGAGAAAAAUGGUUCCCUGGAUCCCCGUAACAUGGACCACAGAAAGACGUUAACCCCAGAUGAAUGGUCUUGUGUCCCCACCUCCACAAGAACCACCAGGACCCCAGUGCAGAGAAGUGCAGGGUGACCAAGGACAGAUGGGAUGCUGCUGGAGCCAAGAGUCUUGUACUGUCCUGUGUUUGAUCUCUUCCCCACCCCAGUCCUGAUCUUCCCCACACCUGUGCACUCCUUUCCUUCCCCACCCUCUCCUCCAUCUUCUCCCUCUUUCCUUCUCGCUCUCCUGUUUCCUGUCACUUUCUAUCUGUCUACUGCACAUUUAUUGUUAAAUAAAUUCCCUGUUAAUGACUUUUGUGGAUGAUUGCUUGGAUUGCUUAUCGUUCUCAAAGAACUGUUGUGGUGGCUGCUCCAAGUGUGGGGACACGAGGCUUGACUCUAUUUUUCUCAGAAGGGUGAUUUAUUAUGUUAUAUAUUAUACUAAAAUACUACAUUAAAACUAUACUAAAAGAACAGAGAGAGAAGAAUGAUCAGAAGGUUACAGAGAACAAGAAUAGAAUAGAAUGCAUAACAAUCCUGUGACUGCUCACAGCCUCGGCACAGGUGGCUGUGACUGGUCAUCAAUUGAAAAUAAUCCACAUGGACCAAUGGAAGAUGCACCUGUUGCAUUCCACAGCAGCAGACAGUUAUUGUUUACAUGUCUUUCCUGAGGCCUUCAGCUCUCAGGAGGGGAAAAAUCCUAGGAAAGGAUUUUCCAUAAAAUACCAUAGCUACAAAGAACCCGUAAUACAGAGACACAGCUUGACCCACAGGGUGAAGACCCUCAGUUCUUUAUUUAUGCAAAUUGAUAAGCAUAAAUCAUAAUAAGUAUAACUUUAGUUAAAUUCCACACCAUGCACCACACAUCUUCCUCAGAUGUGCUUGCAAUCUUCUGUAAUAGCAAUAAAUAGGGAAGGCAAUGAGGGCGCUUUGACCACUGAUAAAUAAAAGGUAAUUUGGGAUUAUGACACUCUCUUUGAAAGGGUUUCCAAUCUUGGUGACAUCUUGUUAAUGACACCUAUUAUCCCACUGAGGGUAAAGACACAGCUUUUCUUUUAACAAUACUCUAUGCCUUAUACCCAAUUAUUGUGCUGAUUAAAUCCCAAUGGAACUGUCCUCUAUCUGUUAGAACAUACAAGUGUGAGCCCCAAAUGGGAGCAAAUGGCCAGCUGCAGAUUUGAUGCCUGACUGGACAGGAACAGCAAGGAUUUAUAUUUCUGAAAAUAAUACUAUUAACAGCUAAGACAUUUGCCUUGACAUUUAAGAAAAUGUCAAUAUUGUGUUGAAACCCCAGCGACUGUACUUGCAUAUAUUGGAAAUUGAUGUAUCUGUAUGAGAACUCUGUGUGAUUCUGUUUACAGAAAACACCACCUGAGAGACGUCUGAUCACUCCAAUAGCUAUAUCUGUAGUUUUAGCAAAAUCAAGGGAUGCAGCUUCAACAAUUCAGCUCCCUCACAACUCACCAAUUACUACAAUCCAGCUGCACACUGUGUCAAGUUUCAUGGCCUGUCACGCUGGAGUGAAUCUGGCACUGGCAAGAAACUGUUGCAAUAUGAUGAUCUGAGUCCAUGCUGAAAUGGACAACAGCACAACAGACAAAGAACCCGCAUUACCACCCAUUGUCAGGCAGAGAAGAUACUCCAUGUCCUGGAAAGAGGGAAGAAAGAUAGAGAACAUUGCUGGUGGGAAACUAUUUUUGGAUGGCCACACAGAGCAACUGGAAUUUUGAAUUUAAUGUUGCAUCCAAUUGUAGUUUUGUUAGCAUUGGCUUUAUUGUGUUCACUGUUUAUAAUCAUCCUGUAUACCCUGUCAGAAGAUAAACCAAAUUAUAUCCAUCCAACAUGUAAACCACCUACAAUGAACUCAGUACAUGAAAUGUUAUACAACUGCACUAUUUCUGACCCAUAAAUCAGAAAACCUCUUAAUUAAUUGUACCCUUACCUCUAAUCUGCAAUAUGCCACAUAUUUAUGACAAAGACACAAGAGAUAACUGUAUUACCAUUCAAGGAGAUGGUAAUGUUUAUUAAAUGUAGGCACAGGGUAAAGGGACUCAAAGCUGGGCACAGGAUAUGAGGUGUGACCUCACCAGUGCCCAGCACAGAGGGACAAUCAGAGCCUUGGUCCUGCUGGCCACACUAUUGCUGACACAGAAUUCCAGGAUGCCCCUGGCAUCUUCUGGAGCACAAUUCCACCCUCCUCCACCCUCCCAACGAAACAAAGAAUGGAGAUUUUCCUUGGCCCUCCUUUGUCAUUAAUAUUUUCUAAAAAAACACAUUUUCUAUAAUCGUCCAUACUAGCCACCAGAUUAAAUUUAAAUGGAGCUUUUAGCUUCCUGAUGAUCUUUCUACAGGAGCUCAGGGUUGAGGGCUGGGACCCAUGCUGGGCUGGGUGGGGAAAGCCCUUUGGCACUUUGGCACAGUGCUUCCUUGGGAAUAUUUAGAGGCAGAACACAAGGUGGGACAAGAGAGAGCUGCAGAACAUUGAGAGAGCAACAAGAGUAGGCAAAGUUGAGGGGCUGUGGGAAGGCAGGGACAGGCAAUCGGAAGACCACGUGCUGUACGGGAAGAUAGGACCUCCUCUCUCUCCUGGUUUGUUGCGUAAGCAGACGGAAGUGAUGUAACCCCAGGUUAUAUAAGGCUGUGAAACCUGGAAAUAAACACCAUUUUACCGUCCACCAAAUUGGUGUCUGUGAGUGACUGGCCCGAGCAGCCUGAGGUGGCUGCCGUGCCGUUCCCGAACCAGGUUGCCCAGCCUCAGUGGAGGCAACAAGUGGUGCUGAAACCCAGGAAUACGGGGGAUGGGAUUUCGCCUGGACGGGUGAACGGCAGCUGGAGCAGCGGGACCAGCCCGGCAGGGAGGACACUCCCGGACCAGCGAGAAGAAUGGAAGCCUUCGCAAAGACCGUCUCCAAGCGGCAAUUGACUCUUCUACCUUGCCUGCAGAAGCGAAGGGCCCAGUGGCGCUAGAAUGCCUACGCCAGCAAUGCAACUCAGCAACCAAAGAAAUUUUAUGAUCAUUACCAGCCAGAGCGAGCCUUGCAACUAUGAUCAAACAUGUCACAAAAGAGGAAUAUCUAAUCCCAAUCCAGGUGGCUGUGUGUACCUGAUAGCCAAUUUGCAACUCCUGGCUCGCUCAAAUGCCCCUGCAGCAAAAUUGACCAAGAGGACCAUGUUGGGCCUGCGGGAAGAGGGGACACUUUGCAAAGGCCUAAGAGGAAGCGUUGUAGGUGGGGUCCAGUCUGGAUCAGGAAGUGCUUGGGAGCAGCUGCGGCGUGGAUGGGCCGUGCCCUUGGAGCAGGCUGAGGACAUCGUUUGGGACCAGCUUUUCUUCCAGCCCUGGAUGGUGUGAGCUGGGCUCUGCGGGUGCUGAGGCCGCUCUGGGCUCUGCCAGGGCUCUGCUGAAGCUCAGCACUGGGCCGGAAUCAGCCGAAGAAGAAAUGGUGUCACCUGCAGCACAGACUUGCUUGAGCAUUUUGGCAACACAGCUCAAGUUUGCAGAGUGGACACCUCCAAGGGAAAACAUGACACUCCAGAAGAUUUAAACUUGUUCAAUAACUUGUGAAAUCAAAUCAAUCUGGGAUGACCUGAAUGACAUUUUUCAGCUUCCUUGAGCUGUAGCUCAACCCUUCUCUGAACAGUUCUCUCCCCCACCUGCCUUUUACUUCCCAGAUGCUCCCUUAUUUCCCCCACUGAAUUCUCUGCCUGUUGCAGUCUCCAUCACACUGGUGCCUUCCUUGAUGCCCCUCUGUCCUGGAUUGGGGC